rnacentral:rRNA from 1 species
AGGGAAUAGAUACCCAGGUAGUCCAUGCCGUAAACGAUGUCGACUAGGUGUUGGGGAACUUGAUUCCUUAGUGCCGCAGCUAAACGCAUUAAGUCGACCGCCUGGGGAGUACGGCCGCAAGGUUAAAACUCAAAUGAAUUGACGGGGGCCCGCACAAGCGGUGGAGCAUGUGGUUUAAAUUCGAUGCAACGCGAAGAACCUUACCUACUCUUGACAUCCAGAGAAUCCUGUAGAGAUACGGGGAGUGCCUUCGGGAAUUCUGAGACAGGUGCUGCAUGGCUGUCGUCAGCUCGUGUCGUGAGAUGUUGGGUUAAGUCCCGCAACGAGCGCAACCCUUGUCCUUAGUUGCCAGCACGUAAUGGUGGGAACUCUAGGGAGACUGCCGGUGACAAACCGGAGGAAGGCGGGGACGACGUCAAGUCAUCAUGGCCCUUACGAGUAGGGCUACACACGUGCUACAAUGGUCGGUACAGAGGGUUUGCAAAGCCGCGAGGCCCAGCCAAUCUCAAAAACGCCGAUCGUAGUCCGGAUUGGAGU